rnacentral:rRNA from 1 species
GACGGGGGAUGCGAGCGUUAUCCGGAAUGAUUGGGCGUAAAGGGUCCGCAGGUGGCCCGGUCAGUCCGCUGUCAAAGCCUGGGGCUCAACCCUGGAGAGGCGGCGGAGACCACCGGGCUUGAGUCCGGUAGGGGCAGAGGGAAUUCCCGGUGGAGCGGUGAAAUGCGUAGAGAUCGGGAAGAACGCCAAGGGCGGAGGCACUCUGCUAGGCCUGAUUUCGCGACUGACACUCAGGGACGAGAGCCAGGGGAGCGAAUGGG